CUGAAGUGCCACAACAAAUGUACCAAAGAAGCCCCACCUUGCCAUUUACUGAUCAUCCAAAGAGGAGGAGGAAGUAACCCCCUCAAAGAUCACCAAGGAAAUCAAGCUCGUUUGGUACGGACUGAAUCGGUACCAUGUGACAUCAACAACCCGCUCAGGUACACAGACCUGCACAUCAGUCAGACGCUGCCCAAAACCAACAAAA